ACCCCCGCCGCAACGGGCACCGCUUUCCACGGCCGCUUGUUGUCCCCCUAGAAGGAAUCACUCGUCCCUCCCUCCAGCGGUCGGUGCUGACCCCAGCGUGCCCUGUAGCCCCCCCCGGCCGUUCCCUUCCGGUCUCUCCUCCUCUGCUGCCCCCAGACUCUUCGUGGUCUGCUCCUGGAAGAGGGAGGCAGGGGCGGCCUCGCCCACCGCGGGAUCUGCGGGGGUCGACCCAGCAUUCGGCACCUCACUUCUGCCCCCAGCUCUGACCCUGCACCCCCACCCGUGCCCAGAGCAGUCUGGGCUAACCCUGCGGGUCCCCGGCUCGGGAGGAUGGGCGGCUUUCCAGAGCUCAGGGAUCCACAGAUCCCAGAGGGGAUGCUAGAAGAGGGGCUGAUGCCCAAGUCCCCAGAGACCAGCCAGCGUGCCCUGGGACUCUCAUCUCCUCCUCAUGGAUUUCUCAGACCUCAGAGCCCUGUGGCUCACCUCUCAUUCUCCUGGCUGAGGGGCACAGCCCCCCACGAUCCACCUGUCCUCUCCCCCAACCCCAUCCCCUCCCAGGAGCCACAGGUCCCUCCAGCGCCCUGCUGGAGUCUCCUGCAGACUUCCAGGGAUGAAUAGUAUUCCAGUGUGUGGCUAUAGCACAUUUGUUGAUCCGUUCAUCCAUCAAUGGACACUGGGUUGCAUCCACCUCUUGGCUGCUGGAAUUGUGCUGCCGUGAACCUGGAUGCACCCGGGCUCUCAUGAUUGAUACAUUGUCUCCUGACAUCACCUUACCGUGAGCAGGUGUGCUCUGAGCGUCCGCAUCUGAGAGAGCGAGGCUGAGCAGGAGGCCCACGUGCAGAGAAGGACAGAGACCUUCCUGAAAGGUCCAUCAGGCAGCUGUGGCCACACUCCCUUCUGGGGGGGCGGGGGCGGGAAUACGGAGGGGCUUUUCCUUCUCACCUGGCAUCGUUCUGGUCUGUUUGAGUUUGUAACAUGUGCCAUGAUCCCUUAUACACUAGAAGAAAGCGAG
rnacentral:lncRNA from 1 species